rnacentral:rRNA from 1 species
UACGGGGGCGGCGAGCGUUACUCGGAUUUAUUGGGUGUAAAGGGCAGGUAGGUGGCUAUGUAAGUUGGGGGUGAAAUCCUUUGGCUUAGCCAAAGAACUGCCUUCAAUACUGCAUGGCUUGAGGCCGAAAGAGGAGAAUGGAAUUCCCGGUGUAAGGGUGAAAUCUGUAGAUAUCGGGAAGAACACCCGUGGCGAAAGCGGUUCUCUGGUUCGGCCCUGACACUGAGCUGCGAAAGCUAGGGUAG